rnacentral:misc_RNA from 2 species
AACGCAACUUGCGCCUCUUGGUAUUCCGAGAGGCAUGCCUGUUUGAGUGUCAUGAAUACCUCAACCCCCCACGGUUUUUCGGAACCGAGGGAAGGUUGGAGAUGGGCGUCCUGCCGGUGUCGAGCCGGCUCGCCUUAAAGGUCUCAGUGGUGUCCUCGUACCCCAUGCCUGACGUAAUAAGUUUCGUCUGGGCCGGGUCCUGUGAUGUCCGCUCAUAACCCACCAUAUUCUGUGACUCUGACCUCAAAUCAGGUAGGGCUACCCGCUGAACUUAA